GUGAUUUCCAAAUCAUCGGUGAAAGAAAUGGAACAAAAGUUGGUCAGUUUUUAAAAAACAAAACAGGAAAGGGUGAGUGGGGAAGGACUAAGCAAGGAUGCCAAGUUGGGAAAUACAAAAUAAGAUCGAGAGAUGCGUCCAUACGUCGUAUCAGUAAAGACUGAAUUAAUUAAAUUUUCCCAUUAAAUGGGAAUUGUAGCAUAGAGUAAAAAAGAAAGAAAAUUUAGAAAGGUUGAUGCAAGACAUGGGGCAUGGGAAAGACACAGACACACACAACACACACACAGAGACACACGCAGACACACAGACACACACACACCCCACACACAUGCACACAGACACACCAUACACACAGACACACACCACACACACAGACACACACCACACAGACACACAAGACACAGAGACACACACCACACACACAUGCACACAACACACACACAGACACACAACACACACGCAGACACACACAGACACACAUAGACACACACAGACACACACACACCAAACACAUGCACACAACACAACACACACACACACAGAGACACACACCACACACAGACACACAUACACAGACACACACCACACACACAGACACACACGCAGACACACACACAGACACACGCCACACACAGACACACAUAGAUACACACAGACACACACACCACACACAUGCACACAACACAGAUACACACAUACAGACACACAGAGACACACAUACACAGACACAGAGACACACCACACACACAGAGACACACACAGAGACACACACCACACACAUGCACACACCAUACACACACACACACCACACAUACACCACAGACCACAGAUGGAUACACACCACAAAAACACACAUCACACACACGCACACACCACACACCACACAGACACACACACCACACACACACUUGCACACACGUACCAGACACCACACACAUGCACACACCACACACCCACCACAAACACACACCACACUCCACACACCACACACACUACAUAACACACACAUGCACACAAAUACUAUACACACUUGCACACACACCACACACAUAUUACACAUACCACACACACCUCACAUAUUGCAUACACACCACACAUGUGCCCACACAUGUACCACACACAUAUGCUCACACCACAGACCCCCACACAACCACAUCAAUGGCACACACACCACACAAAGCACAUGCACAUGCCGCACAC
rnacentral:lncRNA from 13 species